rnacentral:rRNA from 1 species
UACGUAGGGUGCGAGCGUUAAUCGGAAUUACUGGGCGUAAAGCGUGCGUAGGCGGUUCGCUGUGUCCGAUGUGAAAGCCCCGGGCUUAACCUGGGAAUGGCAUUGGAAACUGGUGGGCUUGAGUGUGGCAGAGGGGGGUGGAAUUCCGCGUGUAGCAGUGAAAUGCGUAGAGAUGCGGAGGAACACCGAUGGCGAAGGCAGCCGCCUGGACUGCACCUGACGCUGAAACGCGAAAGCUAGGGGAGCGAACGGG